CUAUGCUGUCGAUAUAUAUUUUCAUUAACCUUAUUGAAUGUGGAAAUAAAUGCUUGGAAUACUGCUUCUAGCAUCUAAAACUUAUUUUGCCUUUUGGCUUAUUUUUUGUCCUCCCUUUUUUGUUGUUGUUGAAUGUUGAGUACCACUGACAGAAUUUGUAGUGGAAACUGUGUAGCUUUACCUCAAUUCUCCAUUUGAUACUUGAUCCCAAUUGGACUUCUCAUCUAUUUUGAAUUUUUCUAAUUGCUGUUACCAUACUCUUAUCAUGAUUGAUAUAAGGCAACUGAAAAAGACUGGGUUAUUGACGGGGGAUGAAGCUUCUGCCAACUGGUCAAAAGAACUCGCUUGCAAUUUUCAUAUGCUCAUCUCGUUGGUCUGGGAUCCUUUCUUCUUCGCUAGUUGCCAGGACUAUUGCGUUCAGUACUUGUGGAUAUAUGAAUCAGUGAAGAUAUGUAUUAUCCUUUAUGUAAGUUAUAGAUAUUAUGAUAAUUAUUCUUGUGACCAUUCUGAAGAAGAGUGUAGCUUCAUAUUUUUUUUCCCAAAGAAUUUUCUCGUUGAACGCCAGUCAGUGGAAUAGAAAAAUGUGUAGUUUUGGGUGCCAAUGAGUAGUUAGUCAACUAUGAAAUGAAUCAAUCAGGUUUUAUGUAUUUUACAAAGUUGCUGCUGUAAACUUAGUGGUUGUGAUAUGUUGUACCAUAUUGUUAUCCUGAAAAUUCAGCUGUUCUUUGAUGGGUCCAAAUGGUGAUGGUUUAGGCCUUUUCACAGGUUAAUCAUCUGUGUCACUUAUCAUAUGCCAAUUGCAGAAUUCAAGUGAAUGACCAUGAUUUGGACUCAUGAAAAAUCAAUGGUAUAAAUAAGAAAUCAGAUUUAUGAAUUUAUAAUACCCCAGAAUUACUCCUUUAUUUUUGAGGUUUGCAAAUUGUUGCCUACUCAGUUUUAACAUUCGAAGAGUAAUCCUCCCGAUGUUUUAAUGCCUUUGUAGAUACAUAAAAAUAUAAGCUCAUUAAGUCUUUAUUUUAUAUACUGCAGUUGGUCGUUUUUUUUGCUGGCUUUUGUUGUUUUGGCUGGAGCAUGGAUGGGUUUCUGGGCUGUCCAUAAACUUGUCCUAACAGAAGAUGGAUCAGUUGAUAUGAAUACAUUUAUUUUUGUUGCCUGGUCUAUAGGUUUUGGCUUUCAUUAUGAUUCUUCAGAAUUCUUUGGAUCCCCUACUGGCAGUUGAAGCAUUAAUAUCUGGAAUAGUGGUCUCAUCAAUAUUGAGAAGAAUUUUUAGAUUAAGAUUUUUGCGUCAACUGUACAAGAAGUUGUUCAUAUUCGCCAAAAACAUCCAGAUUGGAUCUCAUGUUCCUGAUUUAUCACCUUGGAAAUUCCAAUGAUGAAUAAUGUUGAAGACACCUGAGGACUGGCGUCAGCUCAAGUGGUUCAACCUGGCUUCAUACAGUUCACCAAUGCAAGGUCUUAGCAGGACACCACAUCAUCAGCUGUCAGAUUCAGAUAUUUACCCUUCAACCUUCCAGAGCACACCUGAAAGAAGAAAAUUUUCAAAAGAUGUAUGGGAAAAGUUCACUAGAGACUCCACGCAAAAAGCUGUCAAAGAACUUGUUGCCUCCCCUGAUUUCAGCAAAUGGGUUGCUGCAAAUGCGGAAAGAAUCACUCUAACUACAAACUCCACCAGUACAUCUAGUCGGCCGCGACGCAAGUGGCUCCUUUGCUUGUAACUUGUAAGCGGCUGCGAGAAUGGCCAACUUAUAAUGGCUA